UGACUGAAGUGAGAUAAACCCUUAAGAUUUUCCAUGUAAAACUUUGCACGUGUUCAUUAUAUAUGUAGAGGCACCAACACAUAUUUUUAGCCAAAUCUGAGUCUGUCACCAUGGGACCUCUGGUUG